CCUACGGGAGGCAGCAGUAGGGAAUAUUCCACAAUGGGGGAAACCCUGAUGCAGCAACGCCGCGUGAGCGAUGAAGUAUUUCGGUAUGUAAAGCUCUAUCAUCAGGGAAGAACAUGGCGGUAACUAACUAAGAAUCCCCGGCUAACUACGUGCCAGCAGCCGCGGUAAUACGUAGGGGGCAAGCGUUAUCCGGAUUUACUGGGUGUAAAGUGAGCGUAGACGGCGGUGCAAGCCAGAUGCGAAAGCCCGGGGCUCAACCCCGGGACUGCAUUUGAAACUGUGCUGCUAGAGUGUCGGAGAGGCAGGCGGAAUUCCUAGUGUAGCGGUGAAAUGCGUAGAUAUUAGGAGGAACACCAGUGGCGAAGGCGGCCUGCUGGACGAUGACUGACGUUGAGGCUCGAAAGCGUGGGGAGCAAACAGGAUUAGAUACCCCAGUAGUC
rnacentral:rRNA from 1 species